rnacentral:rRNA from 1 species
UACGGAGGGGGCUAGCGUUGUUCGGAAUUACUGGGCGUAAAGCGCACGUAGGCGGCUUGGUAAGUUAGAGGUGAAAGCCUGGAGCUCAACUCCAGAAUUGCCUUUAAGACUGCCGAGCUAGCAGGUGAGAGAGGUGAGUGGAAUUCCGAGUGUAGAGGUGAAAUUCGUAGAUAUUGGGAAGAACACCGGUGGCGAAGGCGGCUCACUGGCUCGUUUCUGACGCUCAGGCGCGAUAGCGUGGGGAUCAAACAGG